GACACCAUGGCCGAGUUGGCAAGGCCACGAAACAAAGUGGUUAACUACCUUCGACACUAAAUUUGAUUCGUCCAUGCAGGUUCGAGUCCUGCUGGUACCG